rnacentral:rRNA from 1 species
AUGUCUACUAACCUGGUGCAAUGUAUCCAAUUGAUCCUCUUGCCCCUAUCAAGCUUUUGGAUGGAUGGUCAUAAAGAAACUUUGCUAAUCCAAAGUCACCAACACGAGCACACAUGUCAUCGUCCAAAAGGACAUUGCUUGGCUUUAGAUCACAAUGGAUCAAAGGAGGCAUGCAUCUGUUAUGGAGAUAGUCCAAGGCAGCAGCUAUAUCCGUCGCAAUUCUUAUCCUUAACCCAAGAUUCAGUGGCCUUUUUGAGCCAUGAUUUUCUGUUACUGGAUGAAGCCAACUUUCUAGGCUACCAUUUGACAUGUGCUCAAGAACUAGAGCUUUGA